rfam:Canis lupus familiaris chromosome 5, whole genome shotgun sequence.
GCCUGGCUAGCUCAGUUGGUGGAGCUCAUGACUCUGGAUCUUGGGGUUGUGAGUUUGAGCCCCACUUUGGGUG